GAAAGAGCAGUGAGGAGGAGGGGCCGCGGCAGGGCCGGGACCUGGCUGAGCUUUCGAGUCGGCUGCACAGACAGGAGAGGGCUCUGGAAACGGCCUGGGGUUGGGGGGGGGGGGGCGGUGCGUGGAAGGGGGGUAGCGGGGACUGGACGCCACACAAAGCUGCCUUUUGUUCCACGUCAGUGCUUCUGUUUCUCCCAAAGCUGAAGGCUGAUUGCUUUCCCUCCUUAAUUUUCUUGUCUCCUCUGUGUUUCUAUCAGUCUAAACAAAAACAGUGAGAAGCCAGACACCCUCUGAAUUAAGGCUGGAACUGACCGGCUAGGCAGAGCUGCUGAGGUGCAGGGACGAACGCACGAAGGCACACAAGCAUUCACGGUCAAGGGUCUAUUUUCACUACGGACGCUCACCGGCACCCCUCAAGCAGCAGCUCAUCUGACAGGCCAUCCCACACCCCACGCCCCAUCUGAAAUCGGGUUCCCAGAUCACAAAGUGGCGGGGGCGGGGGGCACGGAAUGAAAUCCAGAGCCAGGGAGACCUGGAGUGAAACCCUGCUGCUCGCUUCUCACCGCAGGACCCCAGGCUGGUGAUUUGAACCCUCUGUACCUCGCUGACUGACCUGCGGGAUGAGGAGGAGGAGGACAGUACCUUACGGAGUCUGUGGGGAAGAUCAAAUGAGCCACACCAGAUAUAAAGUGCUCAGCAGAGUCCUUGGCACGUGCUUGGGCGUUUCAAUGGCGUUAGCCCAAUAUUUACGGCCGGGGUCCUGUUACCGGACUGCCAGCGGACAGGUUCAUUCAAAUCUUGAUGGUGGCCUGUGGCUUGGGCAGUCCUUUGUUAGAGAGCUCUGCAGGGCUUAAAGGCAGUGUGCACGUAGUAUGGCUGUCUUGUGCUAUUACUUCUGUGAUUCCUUCUGUGAUUCCCCAGCUGAAGUCAUGAAGACAUAAACUAUAGCUUACCCCUCGGUAGAUUUUCUUUUUUUGGAGGGGGGGGGGCGGUCUUUCUCUACAACUGCUUUUCCUAGAGCACUCCCAGAUGAGCUGCUCAGAAAUGUCUCUUUGGUGAUAAUCGCAUGCUUCUGGAGCCCAGAAGGAAAUUCUUGGGAGACAGGAGCAUGGCAUAUGAGCUAAGAGCUAACGGGGCUGCAGGCCUGGACCAGAUGGGUGGACAGGCUUGGGAAGAGGAAUGACCACAGACACCGGGUGAGCACUUCACCAUUGGUAAAACUCUCCCUGAAGACUCGUCAGUUCCUGCUAAUGAAAAUCCCAGCCAUCAUUUACUGAGGGCUUGCUCUGCACCAGGCAGCAUGCAGAGUGUAUUUUUUUUAAAUGUUUAUUUACUUUGAGAGAGAGAGAGAGAACACGGAGUAGGGGCAGAGAGAGAGGGAGAAAGAAUCCCAAGCAGGCUCUGUGCUAUCCAGCUCAGAACCCAACGUGCGGCUCGAACUCACAAAUGGUUGAGAUCAGGACCUGAGUCGGAAUCAAGAGUUGGAUGCUUAACCAACUGAGCCACCCAGGCGCUCUAUGCAGGGUGUAUUCUUACCUGUUCUGACCAACCCUCCCCACAACCCUACAAGGUAGAGUCUUCUAUGAUCCCAAUUUUACAUAGAUAGGAACAUCGAGGCUUAGAAAGUUUAGGUACUCUGCCCAAGUUCACAGAGCUGAAGACUGGGCCACAGGCAUCCAGAUGCCAAGGGCCAUGCUCCUUAUCACUUUGCUACACGGCCCCUCUGGACUGCCUAAGACUUUGUUUUGGGCUCCCUGAGCGGAUGAUUAAUUCCUGCGCUUUGUGCAACGGGCCAAAGACCACCAACUUUGUCGGCAGGUGGUGAGUUGGCCUUUACAGCAUUGGUGGUCUCUCUUCUGGAGGCUUUGACAUCAACCCAGCAGCUGCAUCUAGGGCACUACAAAGGACCAGAUGCUUUUGUGUAGCUGCAUGUCAGAGAAGAGAAGGGUAUAAGCUUUGGCAGGCUUAGGGGUGAAUCACGGCCUUGCUGCUCACUGGCAUGGGAUGCUGGGCAAGCUACUUACCCUCUCUGAGUCUUAGUUUGAUCAUUUGCAAAAUAAAGCUGACAUCCACCCAGAUGGCUUGCAAGGAAUAAAGGUAAUGAGCAAGAAUCACUUGAAACAUAGUAGGCUCUUAGUAUAUGGCAGAUCCUAUUAUUUCUACUUAUAAGUGUAUAUUUACAGGAACGGGAAUUUCAAGAAACAGGUUUUUUAAAAUAUUUGAGAGAGAGAGAAAGAGAAUGAAUGAGUGGUGGAGGGGCAGAGAGAGAGAGACAGACACAGACACACACACACACACACACACACACACACACACACACACAAUCCAAAGCAGGGUCCAGGCUCUGAGCUGUCAGCCCAGAGCCCAACGCAGGGCUCGAACUCACGAAGCGUGAGAUCAUGGCCUGAGCUGAAGUCGGACACUCAACCGACUGAGCCACCCAGGUGCCCCUGAAACACAUUAUUUAUUUAUUUAUCUAUCUAUCUAUCUAUCUAUCUACCUAUCUAUCUAUUUUUUUUUUUUUUAAGUAUGGGAAAGCUUUCAAAAGGCACAAGGAAACCCAAGGUGAUCUUCAAAGCAUCUUUAUGCGAACUAGAGAAGAGAGAAGUCAGACUGCCUCCGGUAGCUGAGCAGGAAGGACUGUUUCCACCAGUCACUUACAGUGUUUCUUCACCAGCUGCCAAGCAAUGAAUGAAAACAAAAGACGUAAAAAGGGAGCCCUGGUAUCUCCCUCCAUUGUCAAUGGGCUCCAUAAACGGGGAAUUGAAAGCUGGCAGAUGUGAGCCAGCAGAGAGAGAGAGAGAGAGAGAGAGAAAUCCUGGCAGUUGUUUAGGGGGAACAAAAUUAGUAGCACGUAGAGAGUCAUAUUUUAGUUAGGAAGUUAGGGAGUCUCUUCUAUGUGUGAGGAAAUAUCCCAGGGAGAGGGGCUAUGGUAGGGAGGCGGAUGUUUAUGUGCAUGUGUCAACUCGCUCCCUGUAGGUAUGCGCACGUGCAUGGAAAGCCAGCGUUUGCUCAUAAUUUGUAAGACAGGGAAGAGUAUGUGACGUGUGUCAGACCAAGGCCUGCCUGUUACACGCGCCGGGGUGGGGGGUGGGGAGGGAUGUAGGAAGGCAUGGUAGGGUGGCAGGGUUUUGUAGAUCUAGGAAAAUCACAGUUGACCAUUUUCGGAAGUACUGAUUUUUUUUUUCCUCCCCUCUCCGUCUCAACUAUCCCGAGCACUGUGGCAGAGAGAGAAAGAACCUUCUGAGAAGAAACCACUCAGCUUUGGAGCAUGCUGCCCUCAGGUCCAGGUUGGGGGUGGAGUUUUAGUCCUGAUUUUUUCGUGGUUCACAGGAAGACGAUGCUGGAACCCAGCCUGAGACAAGUCCUUGCUGAAGCACCUCCUGAGAGGGGAUGGGGGAAAUCCCUCCCCACCUGCCUGCCAGUCACCGGUCAGCAGAGGCCAGCAUUACCAAAGCUGACGGAGACUUGUCUAUGUCAGCUGGCAAAGAAUGCGGUGGUAGAUGUUACCGAGGUCUUCGUUCGGAUCUCCUCAUCUGAGAACACGAGGAUUACAUCUCCCUUGGGCGUAGCCAGGCACCACAGAACUCUGUCAUUGAAAUGUGAGCACGGGGACACGUGUCACUUCCGUGGAGAACCACAGGUGAGCCGGCACCUGACUUGCCAUGCUCUUUCGCCCUGCCUGAUCACAGAAGCACACGAGAUCCUCCGGGACGGUACCCGAGGUAACGAUGAGCAGAUGCACGGUAUAUACAGCACGAACGAGAAACAAACCUUUAGUGUUACUAAGCAACUACGAUCUUGGAGGUGUUUGUUACCACAGCAGAACCAAGCCUACCCUGACUAGUACAAAAGGCUUAUUGGGAAAUAAAAAGUCAUGCUCUUUAGGAACAGUGAUCCUGGGAAGGCUUGAAAUAGUGAAGUACCAUUUCGGGUACAGGUGGGCAAUGGGGUGAAAACCUCUUUGCUUUUCUUGCAAUUUGGCCCCCGUGGAGUAUCUGGAUCUUAUUUUCUUCUUCUUCUUCUUUUUUUUUUUUAAGUUUAUUUAUUUUGAGAGAGAGAGAAGCCCAAGCAGGCUCCACGCUGUCAGUACAGAUCCUGAUGCAGGGCUCGAUCUCUCUAACGGUGAGAUCAUGACCUGAGCUGAAACAAAGAGGUGGACACCUAACCGACUGAACCACCCAGGCACCCCUGUAGUGUCUUGAUCUUAAGACAAAUACAGCAGGGUCAGCUUUUUCUGGAAGACUGUGGUCAGUAAGAUGUCCAGAACAAAACCAAGAAGCACCCAUCUGUCUCGUUUACUUGAUAUAGCUCAUUGCCAGUGAAACUGCAACCGUGAAGAAAAAAAGACACUGGAAAGAAUGGGGUGGAGACAGUAUCCCAGGCUGGGGGAACAGCCCGAGCAAAGACACGGCAUCCUCAGGGGACUCUGAGCAGACUAGCUAAGCUCUACCCAGGCACUCAUAGACCCUUGGCCAUUCCAGGCGCGGACAAGUGAAGCAAAGCAUCGCUGUGAUGGAGAGGUCUGCCUGCCAGGAGAUUGGCACAGUCCAGGCCUGCCUUUGCCUCGCUGCCUGUAGGCACGAAGGGUUUCUGCUUUACAACAGCCAUUUUUCUAACCCUGCCGCGCCUUAGAAUCCCACAUCCAGAGUGUCUUUGUGGUUUCGUCGGGUAGGCUCAGCACGCUUUUGGCAGUGUUUAGCUUCCUCUGUUGAAGGUCAUGUAAACAGAUGGGGCUGAGAUUGUCUCCCACUUCUGGGGACUGCUACCAUUGUAGGUACGAAAGAACAGUCACUGGGAACAGAGGCAAACCGGUUUAAAACGAAGCAAACAACCAAACCAGCCCAUGAGGACACCCGAGACUAUGAGAAGAGCAGAUCAAAGCAAAUUUGGGACAUUGACUUCUUACUCUCAGGCCACGCUGAUGGGCACGGUGCUACAUGCUUUGCACGAUUAACUCUUGUCAUCCAGGCCCAGACCCAUGAGGAGAAAUGCCCUCGGGAUCACACAGCUUGGAAGGGGCAUAGCUGAGAUUUAAAUGGAGGUCUGAUUCCAGCACCGGAGCUCAGAACUCAAAAUCGCUACAUGAGAACACCUCAUCUGUUAAGUGGAAUAACAGCAGGACCCACCUUCCAAUGGGAAUGUUCUGCAGUUCGGAAGAGGCCAUCUACAUACAGCCUUCAUAAGGGGUCAGGGCAUGGCUGCCGUUACCAAUCUGCUUUUGCUAAACCCCCUGUUAACGUUGCUCAGUUCAGUGCUUUGGGGCACACGCUGUUACCAAGUCCUUCUCUUUUCUGGGUUCGGUUCUCAACUGGUUUCACUUUUAAAAGAUAUUCUAUGAAAGCAAUUCUGGAGGCAGCAUCCUUCCUUCCGUGGGGUGUCAGAAGAGGCAUCUAUCCUUAAGAAGAGGGGCAGAGGGAGCCUGUGUCUAAACAUGGCCAGCAGAGCCCUACUGGGAAGCUGCCCAUGGGGUCUCUCCACCCCACAGGUGGCCUGUUCCUACAACCAACCACCUCCCCUCCACACAGACUGCAACCAGCCUCCCUCGCUGCUCUCUCCCUUUCAACCCUGUGCCCUGAGCUGCAGCCAGCCUACAUGGAGGGCACACUCUCUCCUCCAACUGCCCCGCGACAAGGGCUCUGCCUUGCUCGCCUCCCCACAAGUUCCAGACCACGGUUUUCCCCAGUCCCCUUCCCGGCUCUCAGCUGGGGUUUCAGAAACACGUGGCUGUGAGUCUGGCCCUUUACAUUCAGGCUUCACUUUGGACAGCCCUAAAGAGGGACUCUGUCUUCACCAGUGAAGAAAAAACAGAGCAGGGUCAUCCCUAAAGAAUUAAGAACUCCAUUCUCAAAAUACGGCCCAAAUCUGCUCCAGAGAGAACAACGAGUUUUAGUCACAAGAUUAGAAAUCAUCAAAAUUGCUGGAAACUGUAGAAUUGGGUCUUACUCGCCAAUAGAACAGAAUAAGUUAUGUUCUUCUGCCCUCUACUGGUAAAGAGCAGCAUCAGCGCUCCCAGAGCCCUCAGCAAGGAUGCAAACAGAAGAUGGUGGUGACUCACGUUGCUCCCUUCUCUUUCCUAGAGACACGCUGGAUGGGACUUCUGCUAUUAACUCGUGGCGGGAGGAGGGGGAGGCUACCAUCAGCAAGAUGCCCAGGUGGACUAGAAACGUGCCCCUCUAUCUUAUACCCGGGGAGGCUUCGAACUUCCAGGGAACCCAGAACCACGGAUGAUGUCCCUUCGCACUGGCCCAGAGGGUGAGGACAGAUGUUGCCCGGGACUGUGAGCAGGACUCUAGGCUGAGGGAACAGCCUGAGCAAAGGAAUGAAUGGCACACCGAGGGGAACCAUGAAUGAACCAAAGGUCCACCCCUUGGUCAUUCCAGGCACAGAGAAAAGAUGCGAUUUCAUUCCCAGGAGAGAGCUUCCAUUGCUCAGAAGACAUGGGUUUUAUACAGAUACACCCCUUGGACUGGGUACAUCCCUGUCCGUCCCCGUCCCCCCCCCCCCCCGCCAGCCCUCAUUUGUACAAUGAAAGGGUUGGAAGAGAAUGAUGUGAGGUCCUUUCUGGCUCAGAUUGUGGUAACUAACCCACGGGCCUUAACCUACGGGGACCACUGCCUACACGCUGAGGGCAGAAUAUGCUUCUUGGCCACUUGCCCUCUCCUUCCAGGCAGGCUUCCCCAUUGCACGGGGCAUGCAACCCCCUCCCCUCACCCUCUUUUGUGAUUCUUAUCUUGUACUGCCUUUGGCACAGUGGUGGAAGCUUUUUUGUUCAUGCAAUCAAAAUGGCGGCCAACUCCCACCACGUGUUGGUUCUCUGACCAGGCUUCUGCUCGUCCUCGGGCUCGUUAGGAGUGGGGGUUCAAAGGUCAACCAACUGCCACAACACAGCAGCAUCCAACCACCUCCUGAACAAACCCAGCACUUGAGAAGAAUAAGUAAAUAAAGCUGCAUUUGCUUCCUUUUUUCCCUCCCCACUUGGAUAUUCGUCACAUCAUUAGCUAUAAGUAAAUAUAUCAGUGGGAUUAAUGGAGUGAAUCACAAAGCAACCUGAUUAGAUUGAAAACCACAUUAUUUCUUUGGGGUGAACUGGUAAAUUUAGCACUGCCCAGAGAUGAUGGAUUGAGAAACCAGGAAUGGAGCUCUUAUUGAUCUUGAGAAUAGAUCGGUACGAGGAGGAGAGGCUGGGAUGGCUUCCUGCGCUCGGUUCUCCGAGAGACAGGAAUCAUGGCUUCCCUGCUCACUGAACUGCACAGAAAUAGCGUGUGCUGUUCUGGGCCCAUAGUCGGAGUCGUGACCACACGCGGUAGGUAGUGUCCAAGAUGGCCACCAACGAUCCUACCCCUGGUAUUCACGUCCUUUCUCCGGAGUGUAAACCAGAACCAGAGGCUUGCUUUCAACCCUCCAGAAUGCAGAAGCAAUGACUUGCCACUUCUGAGACGAGGUUACAAACAGACCAUGGCUCUGGUCUCAGCUGCUCUCUCUCCCCUUCUUUUGGGUUGUUUGCUCUGGGGGAACCCUGGUGAGGGAGCCCUGUAGAGAGACCCAUGGAUGUGAGCCUGAACGCGGAUCCUCCAAGGCCUGCCAACAGCCUUGGAAGUGAACUUACAAGCAGAAGCUCCCUGGGCUGAGCUCUGAGAUGACUGGAGGCCAUGUCGACAUCCUGACUGCAGCCUCAUGGGAGACGCCGAAUCAGAACCACCCAACCAAGAUGCUCCUGGAUUCCGGACCCACAGAAAUAAACUAUAAUGGGAUAGC